UUUGCUCAACUGGUGGCCUUGAAGCCUUUAGCUCGAUCAGUUGCCCACUUUUGCAGAGUUCAGGGCGGGCACUGCCGGCAAGCAACUCAAGGAGAAACGCGCAGGUGCCUGCCUAGCCUCAGCAGGCAGGCAUGCCGAUUCCGGUUGAUUUGGGCGAGCCCGACAACAGGAGGUUCUUCGUGUGGGUGGAAGACAACAUAUUCACGGUGUUACCGCCUGAUGCCGAUGACCAGUACUCUGGAUUUAAUAAGUGGACCGUCCAAAAGCCUGCAGGUGGCUUAACUGCCAUUAACUUAUUGUUUCCAGGCGCCGCAACCGCUGCUCAAUUAUUAUACGGUCGCCCAGACUCCGAAUGCUCCAAACCCGAGGAUGUUGAUGGCGUCUACUGCGUCGAGGCCCAAGUUCACUUCGUUGGAGAACAACUUGAUGGUACCGAGUUCGUUUCAACCCGAGAAAAUGGUAUUCCACAAAGGUUUAUAGUGGGACAAGAGAAUGUGAUGCAUGGCUUAAAUUUGGUGGUCAGCGCAAUGCGACCAGGAGAGAGAGCUAUAUUCACCAUCCCUCCAAAGUUAGCCAUGACCAAGGCUGGCUCCCCUGCCAGUAUUCCGUCAAACAUACCUCCGGACCAAACAUUACGAUUUGAGAUUGAACUCAUCUCGCUGUUUGCUAUUACUGAUAUUCUCGAAAAUGAAAGCAUAUUGAAAAAGAUCAUUAAGCGCCCAUUACCGGACAAAUCUCACUCCAAUCAUGCAGAUACUGUAAUCGUGAAUUACAAUGCAUGUCUAGAAGACGGAACUUCAGUUUCCAAAUCUGAAUGUCUCGAGUUGAACCUUGCCAGUCGUACCGGUUUCUUUUGUCCAGCAUUGAAAUAUGCUGUGAAGACUAUGAGGGAAGGAGAGGAAGCGAUAUUAAUUGUAAAGCCAAGAUAUGCUUUCGGUGCUCGAGGCAGGGCUUCUACUGGAGACCAAGCUGCUGUGCCCCCUGAUUCAACUCUUUAUCUGUACGUCCAGUUAGCUGAACGGAAGACAGCAAAACAAAAUGAAGCAGAGGAAAAAGGUAUCCGCCAGUAUAUCUGCUAAUAAAUACUCCCUCCGUAUUUUAAUGUAUGACGCCGUUGACUUUUUAAUCAACGUUUGACCAUUUGUUUUAUUCAAAUCUUUUGUGCAAAUAUGAAAAUAUUUAUGUCAUGCUUAAAGAACAUUUGAUGACUAAUCAAGUCACAAUAAAAUAAAUGAUAAUUAUAUAAUUUUUUUAAUAAAACAAAUGGUCAAACGUUAAAUAAAAAGUCAAUAGCGUAAUACAUUAAAAUAUGGAGGUAAUAUAUGUUAGCAUGCUAUUUUAAAAAAAAAACAAUUAUUAUAGGGAUGUAGCGCCAAUUUUAAUU
rnacentral:lncRNA from 1 species